GGAAACAGAAAGACAAGGGGUUUAGAAGCAAUUGGAACUUGUUUUAAGUCUUGGAUUUUCAAACUCUUCAACUGUAGAGGCAAUACUCCAAGUUACCAGCCUCACGAUGAUGACAGAACAGCCUGUAAAUGACCCUUCGCAUACUGCCAGGCUUCCGGUUUCUUCUGACACUGAUUCCAACCAUCCAGACUGAUGCUGAUGGAUAUCACAUUCUGCCAACUCCACAGCUUCACCUGUCCAGAAUAUGCUCUUGAGCUCCCUCUGCCCUCCCUGCUGAUAUAUUUACCUCUACCCAGCAUAUCCUCCAACAAUAUCAGUGUUCAACUAAAUCUACACGUAACAGACCAGUGCAAGACUACUUCCAGCAUGAAGUCUGCCUCUGAUUGACUGGGAGGAUUCUCACGGGUCACCAACUUGUAGGAGAGUCUAUUGGGUCUCAUUUUUUUCGGGGACUUUCUUCACAGUUAAAUAUAGCUUGAAACCAAGACCUCUGGGGCUUAGGAAACCCUGGAAGCAGAUACCGGCUGGAAAAGCUGUCCUUUACCUCUUCCGCCUCCAUGUCCUCUCUUCCUAUACCCAUUUCCUUUCACACAAAGCAAAUGCUUUGCCAGUGCCAAACCCGACUCACUGGAGAAACUCAGACAGAAAUAAGACAUUAGGAUAAUGUUUUUAAAACUUGAACACCUGCAUCCCAGUCUGUGAAAAAGCCCUGAAGUUUGUGAAAGGAUGAUUUUAAUUUUGUUUUCUUCUCUCCACCCCUUUAGCUUUCAACCUGGAUCUGAUGGCUCCCUGUCACAUUAGCUUGACGAGGUCCUCUGUUAAUGCACUUAAAUCUUGACCUAGAGACCCCAGUGGGUGUAUAAUUCCCUGCUGAGCUGCGGCUGGAGCACCACGUGGGGGAAGACUUGGCCUCAGCACACGUGGGGAAUAAAGCUUGUGACAGCAAACACUCUAGCCCGGGUGAUUUCAGCUGGUCUCUUGCAGUGGAUAGCAGGUGUUUAAGUUCAUGGAAAGGCCCGUCUUAUAUCAAAUAUAAGUAACAGGAAGAUGCAACAGAAAGAGUGUGGAUUUUGGAGUCAGCAUAUUUGAAUUGUGCA